UUUCAUUUCUCCAAACGUUCCGCCGGAGCCCGGUCUCCAGUUGUGGCCACGCGCACGGGGUUCUCCCUUUUGCUUGUUUGCUCUCGUCUCCGCCUCCGAUUCUGCGAUGAUAACCCACCAUCCCUCCCUGCUCCGCCCAUCUAUCCUCACCCACCGUGCCGGCGUCCUCGGUCGGCGCCCAACACUGAACGCCUUCCUGUCCACAACCGUCGCCUCCGCUACGCCGCCUCUCCGCUUGCGGUCUCUGCGCGCCACCGCCGGUGGAACUUCGCCGGUCAGUGGCGAUGGAGGCAAACGCGCGGUGCCGCCUCCCACGCUUGGGGCCGCCCUGCUCGGCUUCGUGCGUAGCAACUUCCUCCCGCUUGCUCUCAUUGGUGGGAUCAUAUUGGGUCUCCUAGAUCCUACUCUUGGAUGCCUUGCUCACAAAUACUCCCUGUCAAAGUACGGCACUUUUGGGAUAUUUGUUAUCUCAGGACUGACCCUACGCACUAGGGAGCUUGGUGCAGCAUUAGAAGCUUGGCCUGCUGGACUAUAUGGACUAGGAUCUAUUUUGCUGUUUACACCCUUUCUUGCUCAGUUUAUUAUGCAAGUUCAGUUCUCCCCUCGUGAAUUUAUCACUGGGUUAGCUAUAUUUUGCUGCAUGCCAACAACACUAUCAAGUGGAGUCACACUAACACAGCUUGUUGGCGGUAACUCUGCACUUGCUCUUGCAAUGACAGUUGCAUCCAAUUUACUUGGUAUUAUAAUUGUACCUCUUUCUCUUGCAAAAUACAUUGGCACUGGUGUUGGGGUUUCCUUGCCUACUGAGCAAUUAUUCAAAAGUCUGGUCACCAGCCUUCUAAUCCCUCUUAUUAUAGGGAAGGUUGCUCGAGAAACCUCAAAAGGUAUUGCUGAUUUUGUUGAUGGAAAUCGACAAGGCUUUUCAGUUGCAAGUGCUGUUCUCCUCAGCCUAGUCCCAUGGAUUCAAGUAAGUAGAUCAAGAUCACUGAUCUUAUCUGUUCAAGUAAAAUCCUUUGCUGUUGCCGUUACUAUUGGAGUGCUUCUUCAUCUUGCUCUGCUGGCUUUCAAUGCUGCAAUGUUGGAGAUCUUGUCACGUCUUGAACAGAAAGGGGAGUCAGUCUUUGCAAAGAAAGAGUAUGCACGAGCUGUCAUUUUGGUGGCUAGUCAGGUGCAUCUGUACCCACCAGCCACAACUUAGCUUCGCCACUGAUAUAGAUCCUACUUAGGCAUUGCAUAGCUACUGCUUUACUUUAUUUUGAUUGCAUGACUAGGUAAUAGGUUUCAAAUAAGACAGGGGCUCAAACAUCAUGCAAUCAACUAAUCAAGCAAUCAACAUAAAGUAAAUCCGAAAAUGAUAAUUUAAAUAAAUGACAGUGGUAACUAUGAGCAAUAAAACAAUAGCAACAAGAACAAGUACAAGAUCUAAGUAACUCUGAAUAGAGCACCAAUAGAUAGAUUAUAUUUCUAGAAAUACAUUGGUACCAGUUUUGUUAAUUUUCAAUUUAAAAUGGAUUAUUUAUGAAUUUUUAGAGAUUGAACCAUAUUUUUAUUAUUUUAGGACAAUGCAUAUAUAGGGGUAAAACCACCUUGAAACAUGGUUGAGGGCCAAAGUUGUCCCACCUUUAAUACUUCAAUGGCCAACAAUAUCUGUUUGAAUCCAAUUUGUUAUUGAAAUUGUUCCAAAACACUAGUAGGUAAAGAUGAAGUUGCUAUUUGGCUUUCAUGGCAUGAAAAUAUUUUAGCUGGCUUUCUUCUUAUUCCUGUAGAAAACGUUGCCAGUGUUGGUUGCUGUGGUUGAGCAGCUUGGAGGAGCGUUCGGGGAGUCUGGAUUUCUGGUCAUCCCUUGUGUUGCUGCACACAUUAACCAGAUCAUUAUUGAUUCUAUCAUAGUAAAUUGGUGGCGCCAGAAGGAUCAACAAUUUACUUCUGCAAAGUAACUGCAGAAUUCAAUUUCGGUGUGUAACACAGGGAAUCAGUCAGUCAGGAGCUCUUAAUGUUUAUCUCAUGACGCCAAAGCAAAAUGAGAUAUACAUGUUCAGUUGUUUGGAACGAAAGCAGUCAUAUCGAGAUUAUUUUACACAGAAUUGCUUUCGUGCCUGAAGAAACGAUAUUAUGUCUUUCCUCCACAAUCUUCAGAUUUCUUCCUCUCAAGGUUUUUGGAUAGUUGAAUAAAAAAAUGAAAAAUGUAAUUGUACUUGUCAUGCAGGAAGUUCAGUAAAAGGAAGAAUUGCUGACUGCAAAGCUGAAUUUGUGAAGAUCAUUAUACGCUUUAAUUUCAUAGUAUCCUUCGGACUGAUCUUACUUCA